rnacentral:rRNA from 1 species
UAUUAAUGUUGUUGCAGUUAAAAGCUCGUAGUUGGAUAUCUGGCUUUGCACGGACGGCCCGCCUUCGGGUUGAGUGCUGGAAGUGCUAGCCUAUUUUCUGGUUGGCGUUCUUUCCCUUUAUUGUGGCGAGUUUCGCGAUCCGGAUCGUUUACUUUGAAGAAAUUCGAGUGUUCAAAGCAGGCUUACGCCGUGAAGAUUGCAGCAUGGAAUAAUGACAUAGGACUAUCGUGUUCUAUUUUGUUGGUUCUGGGACCGUAGUAAUGAUUGAUAGGGACAGUUGGGGGUGCUGCUAUUCCGCGGCCAGAGGUGAAAUUCUCAGAUUCCCGGAAGAGCAACUUAUGCGAAAGCAUUCACCAAGGAUGUCUUCUUUAACCAAGAACGAAAGUAGGGGGAUCGAAGACGAUCAGAUACCGUCGUAGUCUCUACCAUAAACUAUGCCGACUAGGGAUUGGUGGACGUUGUUUUAUCCGACUCCAUCAGCACCUUAUGAGAAAUCAAAGUCUUUGGGUUCCGGGGGGAGUAUGGUCGCAAGGCUGAAACUUAAAGGAA